UUUUAUAUAGUUUAAAAAAAACAUUAUAUUUUCAUUAUAAAAAAAAAGACUAUAAUUCUUUUAUAAAAU
rnacentral:tRNA from 1 species